AUAAUAAAUAAAUAUAAAUAAAAACCUCCCUCUGCCUCUAAUCCUCUUUGGACGUUAUUACUAUCACAAGUUCCAACUGCAAGCACCCACACCCACUUCCUGUGUCUCAAAUUUCUCUAGACCCUCUCACUAGUCUUCAACAUCAAGAUACCAUGGGAAGUAAGGCACCAAGCUGGGGUGAGCAAUGGAGCGCAGAAGGUUAUGGUGGCAUUGAUGAUGAUGACAAGCUCAUGAACAAGGUAGGAAACAGCAGUGGCAGCAAGAUGGGAGAUGUGAAAGCAGCAGCAUCGGCAGGACUCGGCAAGGCCAAGGCAGCUGCAUCAGUGAGCGCCCAAAAGGUUAAGAGCGGAACCUCGGUGGGAAUCAAAUGGGUCAAGAAUCAAUACCAGAAAAAGGUCUCUAAAUGAACAAAGAUUUGCUCCUUCGAUUGGAUGAAUGAAAACUUGUAUUUGUUCCAAAAAAAAAUAACCAAGAACAAUUUACAUGAAACUUUAUACAUACUAGGUGGACAAUGUGAACAGCUCUCUUUGUUGGCUUGGUAGUCAGUUGCUCACUUUUCUUAUCCCAAGCCCGAAGAUGGACAAUUUGAUUUAGUUUUGCUGUUCCUCACCCUCUAUAAUAUAUUAAUAUUUUUGUGCUU